rnacentral:rRNA from 1 species
AACGAACGCUGGCGGCAUGCCUAACACAUGCAAGUCGAACGAGAUCUUCGGGUCUAGUGGCGCACGGGUGCGUAACGCGUGGGAAUCUGCCCUUUGGUUCGGAAUAACAGUUGGAAACGACUGCUAAUACCGGAUGAUGACGAAAGUCCAAAGAUUUAUCGCCAGAGGAUGAGCCCGCGUAGGAUUAGCUAGUUGGUGUGGUAAAGGCGCACCAAGGCGACGAUCCUUAGCUGGUCUGAGAGGAUGAUCAGCCACACUGGGACUGAGACACGGCCCAGACUCCUACGGGAGGCAGCAGUGGGGAAUAUUGGACAAUGGGCGAAAGCCUGAUCCAGCAAUGCCGCGUGAGUGAUGAAGGCCUUAGGGUUGUAAAGCUCUUUUACCCGGGAUGAUAAUGACAGUACCGGGAGAAUAAGCCCCGGCUAACUCCGUGCCAGCCGCCGCAGUAAGAC